rnacentral:sRNA from 1 species
UGAUUUGCUGUCGAAAUGUCCAGUAUGC